CGGGUGCGUAACACGUGAGCAACCUACCUAGGUGUGGGGGAUAGCCGGCCCAACGGCCGGGUAAUACCGCAUACGCUCAACACGAGGCAUUUCGAGUUGAGGAAACCUUCGGGGCACUAUGAGGGGCUCGCGGCCUAUCAGCUAGUUGGUGAGGUAAUGGCUCACCAAGGCUACGACGGGUAGCUGGUCUGAGAGGAUGGCCAGCCACAUUGGGACUGAGAAACGGCCCAG
rnacentral:rRNA from 1 species